rnacentral:lncRNA from 1 species
CCACACUUGCACAUCUCUGAAGGUGUGGUUCCACAGGUCACAGACUCAGUCACAAACACAAUCCAGGCCGUCUUCUCACCUGUGACUGUCAGGAGGCAGAAAAAGGCCUCUCCAGU